GAUGAGAGGCCCCUGCAAUGGGGAUCUGUGAAUCUGGUCAGGGCUUAACCGCAGCAGCCAUAAGCAGUCGUCUCUUUGUGCAGUGGGCCUCUCAUCCGA
rnacentral:SRP_RNA from 2 species